AGUCGAUAGCGCCGUUGAUGAAGAUGCGCGGUGGCGCCGCCGCCGCUGCCGGCGAUUGCUUCACUGCGGGUUCUCACCGAGGAGAAGAGGAAUGAAACAUCGAGGUGGAGGUGGCGCGGGGAUUGAGGGCGGAGAAUAAUGGUGGAUUGAAGGAGGUUCAGGUAAUCGAUUUUUCCUAGGGUUUGGAUCGAAAAAGGAUUUGAGGUGUUGAAGGAGGAAUCAGGGUGUGUGGUGAUUUGCUGACCAAAUUUCAAAAAGAUCUGCAUAAUGCGAUAUCAUAUUAAUUUCAGAAACUCAUGAAAGGGAAGUACCAAACACAUAUGAACACUAUGAAACAUGCCAAGUGAUGUUGGGAAAAUGCGCAAGGGCUUUGAUGUAUUAGUUGCUUACGUGAAAUGCAAUGAAAUAAAUUUGCUUUUAUCCCUUCUGAUGGCAAUUUGCUUUCCUCUUGAAGCCUUUUAAAUUCAACAGAACACAUUUCUGGUGAAGCACUUUAUUUGAAUUUUAUUUGUCUACUUAUAUUAAGCUACUAAACCUUUCCUCGUGUUAUUUAUUUAUUUAUUUUUUGUUUUGAAAGUAUUUCACUCUAUCAUUCAUAUUGCUAAUGGAGAUAUGCCAGAUGAUGUUGGGAGAAUGCGCAAGGGCUUUGAUGUUGUGAAAUUGCUCACAUGAAACUAUGAAAUAAAACCAUUGUUAUCCCUCCUGAUGGCAUUUAAAAUUUUCGAUGAGGCUUCUCAUUUCAAUUACAAGAAAUUACUGCGUUUGAGUUAAUCUUUUGAUGUAGGUGACUGAGUUCUUGAUCAGGGAAUUCAAUUUAAUGAACGGCAAGAUUUUUGCCAGUUAUCCAUGCAAUGGCACAUUCCUGGGUAUUACAUUUUAUGACUAAUUUGGUAAUUCAGGGCCCCGAUGCAGGAUGCAUGCUAGAUUGGAUGCUGUCAAGGCCGAGAUAUCAUCAACAGUAUACAUAGCAAGCAAAUCUGUUUGGUUGCCAAUUGUUCCAGCUUACUAGGUUAAAGAUGUGAUGACAAAUACAUCUCAAAUUUGGUGCAUGUAAUGAUUCAGGAGAUGGCAUCUAAGCAGGUUAUGUGCUUCUUUUGAUAAACACUUAGAGGCAAACUCAAACCUGUGUAGCCUGUAAAAAUCAAGCAUUUGAUCAACUGUUUUGAUUUUUUUUGGUGGAUGUAAGUUUUGACUUAGAAUAAUAUAUCCAUUUUGCUUGUCUUUCUGUUCAUCAGUGUAAAAUUGAUGAGCAGAAGAAUUAAAUCACAAGUUAUGACAAAUAGUUUUACAUAAGAAUGGGUUGGGAUUUAUGUUGAA